rnacentral:rRNA from 1 species
AGGUAGCAAUACUUUGGUGGCGACCGGCGCACGGGUGCGUAACGCGUAUGUAACCUACCUAUAACAGGGGCAUAACACUGAGAAAUUGGUACUAAUUCCCCAUAAUGUUCGGAGAGGCAUCUCUCCGGGUUGAAAACUCCGGUGGUUAUAGAUGGACAUGCGUUGUAUUAGCUAGUUGGUGAGGUAACGGCUCACCAAGGCAACGAUACAUAGGGGGACUGAGAGGUUAACCCCCCACACUGGUAAUGAGACACGGACCAGACUCCUACGGGAGGCAGCAGUGAGGAAUAUUGGUCAAUGGACGCAAGUCUGAACCAGCCAUGCCGCGUGCAGGAAGACGGCUCUAUGAG